UUCUUUCAUCAGCAUGGUUGUGUCACAAAUGAUACCAACGCCAAGUAUAAUAGUCGUACUGCACAGCUCUACCGAGACAAGAUCAGAUCUCUUGCAGCUCAGGCGACACGGAAAUACGGCACAGAUUUAUGGAUAGAUGGCUGCGGAGCCCCUCCUUUAUCACC